AGCAACUGAUCCUACUGAGAUGGGGCUUGAUGUUAUCAGAAGUCGGUCCGGCUGAGUCGAUUGUGAUGCAGAGCUGGUGUUGAUUAUGCGAAAUGUUCAUAAGAUUGUGGGCUCCAAACUUGCUUUUUAUGAAUGCUAUAUGAUAAUAUUGGCUUGUUCUUAAAAAGUAUUACCUAAGAGUUUUAAGGAUGACUGUUCUUUGGCUUUGGUGGAUUUUACUUUGGAUGGAUAAUUUAUGUGUGGCUGCCGAAUGUCACAUCUGCAGGUAAAUAUGGAUCAAUG
rnacentral:misc_RNA from 1 species